CAAUUAUCCAAAAAGAUUUUCUAUUGACCCUUUCAAAUUCGAUCGCCAGUCCGACUGGGUUUGCGCACUCGCACCACAUUUUGCCCGGGAGAUGUCAUUCUCUCGUCUGCCUUUCGAUUAAUUCAUUCUCCUUCUACCCUAAAUUCACACAAAACCCCAAUUCCUGAUGGCGCUUUUCGUCCACACACCAGAGAUCUCCGCCUUGAAAAUUAUCUUUAAGCCUAAUCCCAACCCUCGCGUCAGCAAGAGCCUCUCGGUGUCGAGAAGUGAUGAAAGGAUUGGGUCUAGAGCUAGGGCUGCAGCUAGGAUCGGUUUUAAAGGUUUUGAGGAUAGGGUUUCGCAGUUGAAUCAAAACACGUGCUUGUACGGUCAAUUUUCGGCUCCGGUGAAGCAAGAAACGAAGCUGAGCGAACAGGAAGAGGAGAAGCAAAAUUACUAUGUAAAUUUGGGCUAUGCGAUUAGGACUUUGAGAGAGGAGUUUCCCGAGCUCUUUUAUAGGGAGCUUAGUUUUGAUAUCUACAGGUUUUAUUUAUUUAAAAUCUUUUAUUGUUUGCAUUUAUCUUCAUUUUAUUGCUGGUGAGAUCUUUAGAAUUAUAUGUGUGUUAUGGAUCAAGCUUGAUGGCUAUAUAAUUUGUUUGUAGACUUAUUGAAACGCUGGGUUUUCUACAGUAUGUGUCCAGGAUAGAAUACGAGGAUAUUAGUUGAGUUGCUUUGUUUCAUGUGUAGGAUUGAUCAGCAAAACAUUAAAACUUAUUAGAUCAUGCGAUUGUAUUAUUCCAAUUGCCCCAUGAUGUGAUGGAGAAGUCCUUGAUUUUGAUAAUGCCACCACAACUUGAAUAUGAACAGAUUAGCGGCAUAUAUUCCCCUUUAGCCUGUUGACUCUUUCAAGGAAGGCCGCUAGAUAAGACUAGAAGACUUCAAUUGUUUUAGCUUAUAUGGUCAGAGGUGGGUAAAACUUUAGGCAGCAAGCAUUUGUCCUCAGAUGUUUGAUGUUUGAGAAACUCAUUUUUAUAUUGGAAAUCUCAAUGAAAUUGAAGUGAGCAUUUGGCAAAUUUAAAGCUGGCAGAAAAUAGUUUGACACUACUUGUGUUGGUUUGCCAUUAUUUGUUAUUAUAUUCUUUAUUUUUGGAUGUUACUAAUGUUGAAUCAUUUUAGAAUGGAAAAAGAGAAUUUAUAUAGUCGACCCCAAAUUUUUUGAAUAAAGGCUUAGU
rnacentral:misc_RNA from 1 species